CUUCUUUCACUGAAGCUUCACUCCUGAAGGUUCUAGAACCUUCUAAAACAAUGCUACCAGCUAGGAAACAGAGUAUCCAAACACACAAGUUUCCUGGGACAUUUCAAACACUCAAACCACAGGUGCUUCCUGUCUUUGAGUUUAUCCCUGACUUGAUCAUAUCUCUCCAAGAGUUGUCAUGAGCAUGCCCAGUGAGUCUGGAAGGUACUGUGCAGUCUGUGGAUCUUUUCCCUUGCAAUCCAGGGGCCCAAUAUAUGAGGCCAUGGAAGAACAUGGCUGUACACCAUGUUCAAUAUGGGUAGAAGCCUGAGUCGUUUUUUCUCCCCUCUUACAAGUCAAUGAAGGCCAGAAGAUGUCAUAAACUACUCUGAAAAAUACAACUUAAAGGAGAAAAGUGCUGGGAGAUGCUGGAGACACACUGGAUCAAUGGCGUCAGCCAGUGUUGGACCCUGCAUGCUAGCUGCAACAACCACCUGCCAGGUUGUCAUAAAAAUAAUGUGGAUCUUCCAGACAUAGAAAAUGGGCAUUGACUAGAAGAAGAAAAAAAAGAGGAGAAGAGGAAGAAGAGGAGGAAG